GCCAAGAACCCCCUUCACACGUGUAGACAAAGGGACCCAUCAACACCACCCAAAUAUGCACUCUAAAAGUUUUUCCGUGGCCGCGACUUCACGCCAACACUCCGCAAAACACUCAGGCCAACAUGCACAUUCAGUUUCGGAAUUGUGGAUAAUGGAUAGCUUCUAUUCUCAACGGACACCCUUUUUACAUUCAUGGACACUUUCAUUAUUUUUCUACAGUGGAAUAUUACUUUCCCCCUGGAUUACUGGACUAUUCAUAAUGAUAAUUAUUAAUUCCUACAUCUUGACAUGAAGAAGAAACUAAAGACGGUGUCUCCUUCAUGCUCUAUUCUCCAACUUUGAGCAUGUGUUUCUCAUCUCAUCAUGGCUUAUUAACUGAAGACGGACGCUUCAGACAUGGGGCUGGGGGCUGUACUCUCGCAGGUGGUGGAGAGAGAGGCGUGCCCGGUGCUGUACAUCAAUCGCAAGCUCUCUUUGAGGGAAACAAAGUACAGAAUUGUAGAAAAGGAGUGUCUGGCCAUCAAGUGGGUUGUCCUCACUCUCCAUUACUACCUGAUGGCUAAAAGCCUUCACUCUCUGCUCAGAUCACGCACCACUUCAAUGGCUCCACCACAUAAAGGAUACCAACGUGCGGAUCACCCGGUGUUAUCUGGAACUCCAAGCCUUUAAAUUCAAGGUGGUCCACAGACCGGGAGCGCAGAUGGAUGUCUCCCCGGCCUGAGUCGGGCGGUGGGGAUAUGCACCAGUCGAGCGUCCAUUGGGAGAGAGCAGUAAAGGUGCAUACACCUGAGCCAAAUUAUGACUAACACCUGUCUCUAAUUGAAGUGAGAUUGGGGAGAGUGGCAUAAAAGGACCAUGCCAGCACCAGAUCGAGAGAGAGAGACUGGGUCUUUCCUAUAUGCAGAGAAACUGAUGUGUUACUGUGAAGCUGAUGUGUAACUCUGACUCUGAUGAGUUAUUGUGAAGCUGUAAACCAGAGAAGUGGUCAAUAAAAAGUUCCAUACCUAUGUUUGAAGAAUCCAGCUCCCGGUGUCCUUCCCUGUUACACAUGUAAACCCUGAUAUUACACUGUAUCAAUUUUUAUUAAUAGCAUAUACACAUCAAUAGAUGGUCCUUAAACUAAGACUGAAAGUUUCUCCCACUACUUGGUGCAGGUUGCCAGCUUGAAUAGGAUGACAAUUCACUUUCGGGUGGGAACUGGUGGCAACCUGUGAUCAUCAGGACAACAUCAGGACCAUUGUUACAGUCCUAUUGAUUGCAAUUCCUCUUCUUCUGAAUGCAUUUAUUUGUGAAAUUAAAAUGACAGUAAGGUGGCUAAUUUCAGAGAAUUGUCUUACUGGGGGUGAGAUUAGGCACAUCUGGGAGGUGAAAGGUACACAAUGAGCGAUAUACACACAGUUUUUGUAUGACAACGGUUAAAGGCAGAUUUUUUCUGUUGCGAUAAACCAAUGUUGAUGUUAUCACACACCUUUUUUUUUUAUCAAUAAAAUGCCAUUUGAAUGGAAACAGGCAGAAGACUUUUUACCCAUUUUCACAUUG